rnacentral:rRNA from 1 species
CAGUCGCCGCGGGAAUACGUAGGUGGCGAGCGUUGUCCGGAAUUAUUGGGCGUAAAGGGAGCGCAGGCGGACAUAUAAGUCCAUCUUAAAAGUGCGGGGCUCAACCCCGUGAGGGGAUGGAAACUGUAUGCCUUGAGUGCAGGAGAGGAAAGCGGAAUUCCCAGUGUAGCGGUGAAAUGCGUAGAUAUUGGGAGGAACACCAGUGGCGAAGGCGGCUUUCUGGACUGCAACUGACGCUGAGGCUCGAAAGCCAGGGGAGCGAACGGGAUUAGAUACCCGCGUAGUCCCUGUCUCUUAUACC